rnacentral:snRNA from 1 species
AGCUGCGUGGUGAGCACAAAGCGAAUUAUUCUUUCGCCUUUUACUAAAGAAUAACGUGUGCGCGUCAUAAAUAGCAGCAUACUCUUAUUUUGAAAUUCAAAAUGUUAGAAU